AUUUCUUUUGUAGCAUCCUUGUUCAGCAGCUUAACUGUUUAUUUCAUAUUAUAAAUAUACUUUUACAAUCACUGGAACAUUUUACGAAAAUAAGCUUAAAAGGACAGUUCACCUUUACUCAAAAAGUAGUGCAAUGGUAUUUUCCAUAGUUUUUUAAUGAUGACUUUUGAAUAUUUGGUUGCACAUUAAAAUAUAUAUUCUUUUAAAUCAAAAUGUAUAAUUUGGACCAGUUUUUGUGCACCUCUAUGGUUGUAAAAAAUACAUGUUUUCUAGACAUCAGACACCAAGUAAGGCAUGCAUUCAUCAAAUGAUCUCAGAGCUAUAGUUAUUCUUAUAGUAAAACUCAAAUCUUUAACUGCUUUAUAGAAAUGUACCAUACUCACAUCUUUCUAUAUUUUGUUUUGUACAUUGUGCACUGUUGGAAUUCAAGUUAUCUUAUUAAAUAAAAGCUUGUUAUGGAUACAGCUGCUUUAGAUAUCUUUUUUCAGCAGGAGUGAUUAUGCUAAAGCAUGGUUUCCACGUUUACUUUUUACUUUUAUGUAGCCUGUCAAUCAACCUGAGAGGUUUCACAAAGACUGCCAAAAUUUAGCUGCACUGACCUUUGAACAAGCUUUUAUGCAUUCUGCCCAUGAGUAAUGGAAACAUACUCAGAGGUCAUGGAACAAUGGUCCAUUCAUAGCAACCCUAGACAUUCUUUCAAGCGUUUUACAUUUUGAAAAUACUCUAGAAUAAAACGUUCAAAAUAAAACCAAUUUCUUCAAGGGAGAAACCUCGCAAUAAUCCUUCCCUCGCACUCAUUAUGUCAACACAUCAUCCAACACAGAAAUUAUAAAUAAAUAACAUUCAUAUUUAUGCUGCACCUGGGCACAGGUGUAAGACAUUCAAAGCAGAGAUAUUUCCCUUUGUUCUCUACUAUACAUAGAGCAAAAUGCCUAAAGCAGUGUUAAAAUCACAAAUAAGAUUCAACAAAAGAGAAAAAAACCAAAGGCUGGUUAAUUGCAGGUGUGUGAUUAAGAUGAUUAGAAGCACAAAUGCACCGUCCUCAGGCCCCUUGACAUCUGCCAAACAGAGGGUAACUGUGGGUUGUUUCGGAAGCACGUGGGGAGGACGGUAACACUUCAUUUUAAGGUUCUGUACCAAAACAUUGAUAAGGCAUUAAUAAUGUGUGUGUUCACCAUGUAUUAAUCAUUACUCACGCAUUCAGAAACUAUUUAUGAAUAAAAAGCAAUGCAUAUUUGUUGCCCCUAACCUAAAGUUAGCACUAUUUAUCCUCCAAAAAAAACCGAAAUAAAUAAAUACUUAUCACAGAAAGAUGGGCAUAACAUUGUUUAGAAAUUCCAGCUGUACCUACUCAAAGAAUAUGCAUACCACACAGGAUUUUAUGGGAGUAUAUACACAUUUGUACAUAACCAGAUUGCUAAUGUGUACAAAUGUUCAGGAUAGUGAUUCAUAAACGGUAAAUGCCUUAUAAAUGGUUUAUUAUAAACCAUUUGAAAUGAGGUGUCACCGAAUCCUGUGCAGCAGUGUUGUGGCUAGAAUGGAACGCUGCCAUGAGGAGAGGGCGAGGAGACGAGGGGAAACGGGAAGGCCAAACAGACUCAGCUCUUCUUCUGCUCUUCUGCACGCAAGCGGCAGCCCACGGCAGUGAUGAGGGCGGCCCCCUUUCCACUCCCGUCCUCAGACAGAAGGAAAUUGACGUUGCACUUAGGGGCCAGCUCUUUCACUGUCUGGUGCAUGAUCCUCGAAAAGCUGUGACGGGACAGAACACGGUAAGAAGGUUCCCUCAAACACUCGACUUUGUUCAUGAAACUGCUGAAAAUGUAAAUCACUGAAGCUAUUCAAAUAUAGGGCUUGAUCAAAGAGAACGGAGACUAGAGGAGGAAUGUGUACUAUGAUAAAAGUGCAAUAAACUACACAGUCAGUGCAGGCCCAUACUCAACAUUGCUCUUUCUCAUUGUCAACCUGAGGUACAUUUCAUUUCGACCAAUUACAAUCCCAGCAUUAUUACUCACUGUGGAUGCAGUUUGUAGAGUGUUCCGUCCACCCCCACGGUGAUGUUCAUUUGGUUCAGCCCGCGGUUCUCCCGGAUUUUGUCGACGACAGCGGCCAUUCCGGCCCCACAGAGCUGAGCCGCCCGGCGAGACACGACGCCACACACCUCCUUGACGAUGAUGCUGUCGUCACACGUGCUGUCCAGACCCAGGUGCUGCAGGAUGGACCUCACCUGAAGCAGUGCCAAUCUGUCGCUGUGGGCAACAUGAAGACAUUUUGUUGACAACGUGGCACAAAAACGGUAGCCAGGGACAGCACGAACAUAAAUAAUUUUAAUAGCAAAUUUAUUACGGGCGCCAACCUUUCAAUCUGGGAGAGGAACUUAGUUUCGAAAAUGCCUCUGGUCUUCAGAGUCUCUGAUAUCUGCCCUCUGAAGAGGAAGCCCCGCUUCGUCAACGUGAUCAGGAUGUUUCGCACAAUCUCCCCUAGAUACAUACCGCUGCACAUCUUCUCUCACCUUUGCUUGCCAGGGUUGAGUGAAAACUCAUCCACAAAUCUGUCAAAUUCUGUCCUGAUGUCGUCCAGGCACCCGUUGUCCCCAAAUGCCCCCCACUCCAUGUUGACACACAUCCUGCCCUCGUCUCCCUCCACCGUCUCAACGUUCCUCAUCUCCUCCAUGUAACAGGCAUUGCUGCCAGUUCCUGAAACCGGAAAUAAUAGUGUUCAUCAAUUUUACCGUUGGAAUAUAGUAAUAAAUAUGUUUUGUUUUUCACUGUUACUUUUGCAAGUUAUUUCACUUUUUC
ensembl:lncRNA